GGUAGUAGGUCUACCGAAGCCGCUUUACAGGAGGAGGCUUCAAACCGCUCUACGGUGCUGUAUCCUAAGGGAUAUGGUGUUGAACGGUUAGAGAAAAGGUAUACACAAGUAUAUCAGGU
rfam:Marine metagenome ctg_1101668577783, whole genome shotgun sequence.